rnacentral:lncRNA from 1 species
GGUGUUUCCAGUCGUGUCCGUGCAUUUUCUCAUGAACCAUUCAACCAAAGCUUUUCAAAUUUUAAUAUGUUGAUACUGAUGACAAAAUGGAGGUCUAAUUUGAUAUUGACGAUUUUCACUUUCACCAUUCAUCAGUAAUGGUUCUUGUGAUAUUGCCAGGACACAAAUAAAUAUUAAUAAAUCCGGUUUGCUGUCGUUGUGACAGCCUCUUGUUU